GUAGGCGGUUUAAUAAGUGAAUAGUGAAACCUGGUGGCUCAACCAUACAGACUAUUAUUCAAACUGUUAAACUCGAGAAUGGUAGAGGUAACNUGGAAUUUCUAGUGUAGGAGUGAAAUCCGUAGAUAUUAGAAGGAACACCGAUGGCGUAGGCAGGUUACUGGGCCAUUUCUGACGCUAAGGCACGAAAGCGUGGGGAGCGAACCGGAUUAGAUACCCGGGUAGUCCACGCCGUAAACGAUGGAUACUAGCUGUUGGAGGUAUCGACCCCUUCAGUAGCGAAGCUAACGCGUUAAGUAUCCCGCCUGUGGAGUACGGCCGCAAGGCUAAAACAUAAAGGAAUUGACGGGGACCCGCACAAGCGGUGGAUUAUGUUCUUUAAUUCGAUGAUAACCGAAGAACCUUACCAGGGUUUGACAUCCCGAGAAGAUUUACGAAAGUAGAUUGUGCCUUUUGGAACUCGGUGACAGAUGAUGCAUGGCCGUCGUCAGCUCGUGUCGUGAGAUGUUUGGUUAAGUCCAUCAACGAGCGCAACCCUUGUGAAUAGUUGAAUUUUUCUAUUCAGACUGCCCCGGCNACGGGGAGGAAGGAGGGGAUGAUGUCAGGUCAGUAUUUCUCUUACAUCCUGGGCUAGAAACGUGAUACAAUGGCAAGUACAAUGCNCAGCGAAGCCGCGAGGUGAAGCAAAUCGCACCAAAACUUGUC
rnacentral:rRNA from 1 species